AUUGAACGCUGGCGGCAUGCCUUACACAUGCAAGUCGAACGGUAACGCGGGGCAACCUGGCGACGAGUGGCGAACGGGUGAGUAAUGUAUCGGAACGUGCCCAGUUGCGGGGGAUAACUGCUCGAAAGCGCAGCCAAUACCGCAUACGACCUGAGGGUGAAAGCGGGGGAUCGGAAGACCUCGCGCAAUUGGAGCGGCCGAAAUCAGAUUAGGGAGUUGGUGGGGUAAAGGCUAACGAAGCCGACGAUCGGUAGCUGGUUUGAGAGGACGACCAGCCACACUGGGACUGAGACACGGCCCAGACUCCUACGGGAGGCAGCAGUGGGGAAUUUUGGACAAUGGACGCAAGUCUGAUCCAGCCAUGCCGCGUGCGGGAAGAAGGCCUUCGGGUUGUAAACCGCUUUUGUCAGGGAAGAAACGCUCUGGGUUAAUACCUCGGGGUAAUGACGGUACCUGAAGAAUAAGCACCGGCUAACUACGUGCCAGCCGCCGCGGUAACAC
rnacentral:rRNA from 1 species